rnacentral:misc_RNA from 1 species
AACCUAGCACACCUGCGGUGUGUACCUGCGGAAGGAUCAUUACAAGUGACCCCGGUCUAACCACCGGGAUGUUCAUAACCCUUUGUUGUCCGACUCUGUUGCCUCCGGGGCGACCCUGCCUCCGGGCGGGGGCUCCGGGUGGACACUUCAAACUCUUGCGUAACUUUGCAGUCUGAGUAAACUUAAUUAAUAAAUUAAAACUUUCAACAAUGGAUCU